rnacentral:misc_RNA from 1 species
AAGUCGUCACAAGGUUUCCGUAAGGUAGAACCUGCUGGAAGGAAUCAUUAGAAAGGUCUUGUUCGCCUGAUGGAGACGCGCGCGAACCUACCUUCAAACCGACUGUGGAAGCCACUUGUUGCUUCGCGGCACGUCCUCCGCCCCCGGGCGGAAGGGCCGUCAGUUCGCAGAAGCCCAAACCAAAAACUUCUUUGUAACAGUCUGUCUGAGAAAAAAACAUGAAUUAAAAUUCGUUAAAA